rnacentral:rRNA from 1 species
AUUUGACCUCAAAUCAGGUAGACACACGAUCU